UCCAGGGUAGCCUAGUGGACAUGGCAUCUGCCCGGCAAGCGAAACAUUGUGGGUUCGAUUCCCAUCCCUGGAC